UACGGGGGGGGGUAAGCGUUGUUCGGAAUUACUGGGCGUAAAGGGCUCGUAGGCGGCCAACUAAGUCGGACGUGAAAUCCCUCAGCUUAACUGGGGAACUGCGUCCGAUACUGGAUGGCUUGGAUUUGGGAGAGGGAUGCGGAAUUCCAGGUGUAGCGGUGAAAUGCGUAGAUAUCUGGAGGAACACCGGUGGCGAAGGCGGCAUCCUGGACCGGCAUUGACGCUGAGGCGCGAAAGCCAGGGGAGCAAACAGG
rnacentral:rRNA from 1 species